UAGGGAAUCUUCCGCAAUGGACGAAAGUCUGACGGAGCAACGCCGCGUGAGUGAAGAAGGAUUUCGGUUCGUAAAACUCUGUUGUUAGGGAAGAAAAAAUGUAUAGUAACUAUAUACAAAAGAGACGGUACCUAACCAGAAAGCCACGGCUAACUACGUGCCAGCAGCCGCGGUAAUACGUAGGUGGCAAGCGUUGUCCGGAAUUAUUGGGCGUAAAGCGCGCGCAGGUGGUUUAGAAAGUCUGAUGUGAAAGCCCACGGCUCAACCGUGGAGGGUCAUUGGAAACUAAUAAACUUGAGUGCAGGAGAGAAUAGUGGAAUUCCUAGUGUAGCGGUGAAAUGCGUAGAGAUUAGGAGGAACACCGGUGGCGAAAGCGGCUUUUUGGCCUGCAACUGACACUGAGGCGCGAAAGCGUGGGGAGCAAACAGG
rnacentral:rRNA from 1 species